ensembl:lncRNA
CUGGAUUUCCUAAAAUGAUCGUCCAGUACAAAAUAAAUAAGUAUAUAGAUGAAUGGAUGUAUGUACUGUAUGUCUGUCUGUCUGUCUGUCUGUAUGAAUGAAUGAAUGAAUAAUAACUUGCUAAGUAAAAAAAUUAGCAACAAUUAUUUUAACCUUAAGGGUCCUGAUAUACAGUCCCUUUAUUUACAGUGUUUUAUAGGUUUAACAAAGCAAAAUCUAUAUCUUCAUAGAUAACCUCUUGCAUAUCCUGGUCUCGGAAUCACUAAAAGACAAUGUUCCUGGUUGACCACUGCCUGUUCCUACAGUACAUGUGUAACCACAGCUAAACACAAAGACCACCGUUUUAAAGUUAAAGUCACAAUGUAAUGGAAGUAUCAACAAAUCUUUAUUUCCAUAUUUUGACGUAUGUCAAAAAAAAAAAAAAAAAAGAAGAAGAAAAAUAAAUAAAUUGGUUUAAUAUAUCAGUUGUUGACUGGAUUGAGGCAGAUCUGAGAUCUCUCUCACAGAUCUCUAAGACUUUAUACAGCUAUUUAAUUUAAUACUACUUUAAGUAAAUUUCGCAUGCGUCUCUUUGUUUCAAAAUGUUUAAUAUAUGCAUAUUUAAUAGUUUAAGACUUUUUAAUGGCAACUCAUCUUUUUCUUUCUUAUAAGAAACAAUAAGAGCUAGAAACCCAGAAAUUCCCAAAUGAACUGGAAACCCUCUGCCAGGAGACAGGUUGAGGGUAGAGGCUUUUGGAAGCCCUUUCAGGAGGUUCCACUCAUUAGUGGUCAGCUGCACCCUGAACAUUCAGACUCUCCUGUCCCCCCUCUCCUCUCCAGGCCCUGAUGAAACCCUUUUCACCCACUCAGGGAAAGAAAAUGGCUUCAGGAGGAGGAGAAAAUCUUAGAGAGCCCUUCUUGGCCCUACACGCCUUGGACGCGAUGCACUUGAAAGCAUAAUUAGAGGUAAAACAGUGACUGGAUCUCCCAUCAUCCUUCUGCGUGGCCAUCGCAAAGUCCUUUGUUUUUAAACCUCUCUCCUCAAAAAAUCUCCUUUUCUCCCUGACUUUUUGAAAAGCUGCUCUAAAGGAGGUGGGGGGAGUGAGAGGGUGAAAAGUGGGAGCAAGAGAGAAAGAGAAAACGCAAGAGAGUUCCCUCUGCGAGUCGCCAAGGUGCUCUCUAGUCCAUUGUGCAGUGUGCUGUCAGGUUAAAUUAGGGAGUACAGGCUCUGUGAGUGUAAAAAAAUCAAUACUUGAUGGAAGAUUGCUCCCCGGAAAAUCUGUUUUGAUUCCAGGAUUAAUUCUUGACCAAAGGCUCCGCUGAAAUGACAUGCCAUUAGGGCCGAAAAUGAACACAUUCGGCAGUGGAAAUUGGAUGGAAAUGUGUCAGGUGAUUGCCCCGGCUGCUUGUUUUGCUCUCCUGGAGAGUGAGAGAGGAAGGGAGAGCGCGUGAGGGGGAAAGCGCAGCACUGGAGGAAGGUGUGGCGGCAAAAAGCCUCGGAUCCGCAGGCCCCUCGGAAUACAUUUUCAGGCCUCGCCGCGGCCCUCCGGAGUAUUGUCUGGGCCAUUGUUGUUCGGCUCCUGCAAAUGCACUCUGUGCAAGGUGAAAUGCAUUUGUCCACUGGCUGCGUCUCUCCUGUGUGUUCCCACAAAGCACAAGAUGAAGAAUAGCUCAUCUUAAAAUAAAGCAGGGACCUCUUUUCUUUGUCUCUGUGGUGCGGACGAAAGAAAGGGAAAAUGCAAUAUUGAUGAGAGUAAUGUGUUUGUCAUCGCUUGUAGCGUAUCUCCUGCACCUGAGUACAAGAAACGAAAACACAAGACGCUGCUCGCUAAGAUAACGUGCUUUAAAAGCAUUAUAAAGUGCUGGAACUAGAGUUAAAAUGGAAGAAAUCAAUAGAAAAUUAGUUGAUUGAGUAUGUUUUUAUUUUUUAUUUUUUUGUCCUGAAAGUCUACUCCAAGCUUAAAGUAAAC